GCUGGUGUAGCUCAAUUUGGCAGAGCGGGCGUCUUGUAAUCGUCAGGUUUUUGCGGGUUCGAUUCCCGCCGCCAGCU
rnacentral:tRNA from 1 species